GCAAUCUUACAGUGAAGGAGAAGAGAAGAUUGCUCAGACAAAUGGUAAACCAAGAGGACACAGCACGCCAGCGAGUGGGUGCCAUCUAAGAACCAGAGUCUGCGAUACUAAAACUCCACACAGCAUAGAACACAGACAUGACAGCACUCUGUAAGGAAGUAGAGAGAAAAGGACUGGGAAUGAGGAAGAGAAGAAAAGGUACACAGUGCUUCAAGAAGUUAAAAGCAUGGCCUGUUUUGGUCUGGACAGAAGGCAGCAGAGAGCCAGUGGAGCCUGGGGACAGCAGUGACACUACUCAGCUCAACAGGAGGAACAGUAUCAGCAAAUCUUGUGUAAAGAAGUAAUUCUCUGCAAGGGUCCUGUUGCCUGAGGAGAAGGGACCGCUGUUCUAAGAGAUGCACAAAACUGAAGGGUACUCAGCAGCUUUCCAAAUACAACAGUAAGGGGGGUUUGGUGUUAAGACUUACUUUUGGUACAAGACCUAAUUCCACUGGAAUGAAAGAUACAACAUGCAGAGCACCUGAACCGAUACUGCCAGAACCAGCUCCACCAGGGCAGGUCUGCGUGCCGUGGUGGAGGAAAACCACUUGGCUGGGACUUUCAGGUAAAGAGAAGGAGAGGAGCUGAGAACAGGAGUACAAAAAUGUCUUACUGAGUGGAAGUUACUAUCGCAGAGGUUGGCACAAACCAGCAAAAUCUUCAUCUGAGGAAGCACCGAGGAAUAAACACCUCCCUUGUACAGCAAAGUGCUUUUUCUAUUUGGUGAGCUGCUUAGCUUGUUUGUGGCAAACCAGAGUUGGUCUCUGGUGGAAUAGAAGCCUCAGAACCUUAUGGAGGAUUGUGGAAGAUUUCUCAGCUCCAAGGGAAACCACCUACUUCCACCCACCUUACCCUCUGGGCAGCUUUGUCUGCAGCCCGGAGACUGGAGCUCUGUGUCCAGAAAUCUUCCCAGAACAUACCCAGCAACUGACCUGGCCAGUGACCCGAAGAAUCAGGUGAGUCACCAUCCACAUUCAAUCCUUGGGCUCUAAUUAAUAUCAGGGAAUGGUGUUUUCUGCAAAGUGAGUACAAGUCCAGUGGCUCUGAGACCAUAAAACUAGUUCUGAGACCAUAAAACAGCGUUCUCUGUGGGUCCCAAAGCACUCUAUCAAGACACUUAAGCAUCGUUAUCCUUUAAGGAUACCUUACACAGUGGCCAGGAAAAAGAUGGACUGAGACCAACUAAUGUUAAAUAAUAAAUCUCCGUUGUGAGAGAUGUCCCACAGAAAUCUUUCACCAUGACAUCUCUGUACUAAAAUGGAAGGGGGGGAAAAGACGACUUACUGUAAGAUUUCUGCUUUAAAUGAAUAGUCCACAGCAAAUUCCAAAACUUCCACGUUAGACAAGCAUACAUGACAAAAUAAUAUUGCAAUUAUUACGUAAUAGACUGCAUUUCUCUAUGGGUUUUGGAGUUUAAAACAAAAUAUGGUUAGUAAAAUGGAAGGCCUCCAAGUUCUCCAGUACAUCAUUAACAAGUAAUAGAAAGAUUAAAACUCAGUUUAUUACAGGCUAGUAAUGAAAUAAUUUUGAAAUCAUUUUGCAUAAAUAUCUUAAAGAGCUAAAAAUUUAACGUAAAGGUAAAAGCCAAUUCUCAAUGAAAUCCAGUGAAAUACGUGUCUUUGGACACCUUUCCUGCCCUGCUGUGCCCCCUGGUUAUCAUUUCCCUACUAACCCCAAGUCACCUUCCUAACGAGUAGCUGCGUAAAGCUCAUCAGCCAAGAUGAGGUUAGAAACUGCCCGGGCUAUCACUAUCUGUAUUUUCCCUCAGGUGAGGAUGAGGUGGACAUCAACUGCAGAAAUAUUCUUCUGUCCCUCCUCUUGCCCCUUCAAAUAGAUUCAUUUCUGGCAAACAAAGCCCAGCAGCUUGAGAGAGUUAUUAUUUACUCCUUUCCUAAGCUGUUGGAACUAAUUCUGAACAUGCAUAUAUUUACAGUUUUCACUUCUAGUGAUUAAUUUUUUUUUUUCCCUCUUAUCCCCAAACUGGUAAUAUCAAUCUGGAGAGUGCAUUAACCACCCCUUCUGAAAAGCCUUUAGCCUGACUUUUGUCAAAAAACACUGAAAGAGCCAUAUGUGGUUGAAGCUGUAACUGAAGAAGAGAACAAAGUGUGACCUGAAUAGGGACUUGGUUAGUUGUGAAGACAGUGUGGCAGCUCGGGACAUAGUCUCUAUGACCGUAUCACAGACCUGCAACACACACACACAACGAGAUGCAACCCUGCUUGGCAGCAGACCAGAAAAAGCUGCGAGGGAAAUGUCAUCAGUUGCAGCCACGUCGUUUAUGAUGCCAUUAAACGAACCAGAAAUUUGGAAGCCCCUGCUGGAUGCCUGCAGUGCAAAGCGGUUGUCAAGGCAGCUGGGUGCGAAAGGAGGCUGCACCCAGGCAGACGAGCAGGGAAUCUGAAGACAGGAUGCAAGAUAUAAAAACCACACUAGAGCCAGAGCUACUGUCACACAGUUUAGCGCUGAAUUAUGUUGAACAAAUUCUGCAAAAAUCUGUCUUGCUUUGGAGAACUAUGCUAAGCACAGCCCACUUCCAUAGCAGUCCAACUAUCGCACCUCCCUAGAAUCACUUUCUGCAACUUGCCAGCUCCCUCUCUCUCUAUCAGACUUCAGAGAGCAACCACGAUGGCUGACAGUCCCCAGCCUUCUACAGAAUACAAAGAAAGUGAGUGUACACCAAUCAAUGUGCACCCAAAAGACAUCUUUUUUUCUGUGAAGAAUGGAAGUAAAAUGCAUGUUGGAGAUAAGGAACUAAAAUCAGUUACUCAAAUCAAUCUGCCACUCGUGUCACAAAAAUUUGCCUAUGAAGCUGUCGUACAGGUUGGAUUUGCCAGAGGAAUCUCUCCAGUAUCCAUGCAUCUGCAUGGGCUUUUACACAAACGUACAUGUGCACACACAUGCAUACACACACACACAAAAAGAAGAGUAUUUGAUUGAAUCUUACCCCAGACAGGUACUGGAAGAGGAAGAAAAUUAAAUGGGUGCUUCUUCUGAGGACGGAGAGAACCAGGCUGUGCAAGGCUCAGUGAGUACCCACCGUUGUGUUGUGCAGGCAGCGAUGGCAGCCGUGAGGAUCUGCCUCCAGCACCACUUCCACAACAAGCACGUUUCACAGAGAUACUGAGAUAGAAAUGAGCACCAGGGCUGAGUGCCUGAUGGAGCAUGCCUUCUGCAGUGAAUUAAGUGCCACUCUACGCUUUUCCACCCUGCCAGGAAGCCAAUAGGGGUCAGGCACUCUCAUCAUCAAGAAACUGAAGGGGAUAUCUAAUGUCCUGGCUGGGCAGAGCUCAUAAUUCAGACCAAAACUGAAAGCAAAUAAAAUGACCAUAAGCACUAAUAAUAGGAUAAAGCUGGGGAGGGGGGGAAGCACUAUAUAAGUCAAUUCAUGUGCAUGUGCACUCCCUCUGCAACUACAUUGGCAAUAAAAAUUGCUGUUCCAUCACAGGGAUGGAAACCGCUGCCAGGAUCUUGAAAUAUUCCUUUAGACUUCCAAAGAAGUCUGAAGUCCAGCAAAUAUGAUUAAGGGAUUGGAGCAUUUGUCACACAAGAAGAGCCUGAGAGAGCUAGAACUGCUCAGUUCAGCCUGGAGAAGAGAAAGCUUGGUGGGAUCUUUCCAAUCCAUAGAAAUACCUGAUAGUAGGGAAUAAGAUGAUGAAGCCAGGCCCUUCUCCAGUGACGCCCAGUGGAAAGGAGGCAAGGGCA